UCUGGCGACCGGCGCACGGGUGAGUAACACGUAUCCAACCUGCCCUUUACUCGGGGAUAGCCUUUCGAAAGAAAGAUUAAUACCCGAUAGCAUAAUGAUUCCGCAUGGUUUCAUUAUUAAAGGAUUCCGGUAAAGGAUGGGGAUGCGUUCCAUUAGGUUGUUGGUGAGGUAACGGCUCACCAAGCCUUCGAUGGAUAGGGGUUCUGAGAGGAAGGUCCCUCACAUUGGAACUGAGACACGGUCCAA
rnacentral:rRNA from 1 species